rnacentral:rRNA from 1 species
UGCGUAGGCGGUAUGCUAAGUCAAUUGUUAAAUUCUCCGGCCUAACCGGAGGCAAGCAGUAGAUACUGGCGUACUUGAGGGUGGAAGAGAGAAGUGGAAUUCUCGGAGUAGCGGUAAAAUGCGUAGAUCUCGAGAGGAACACCAAUGGCGAAGGCAGCUUCUUGGUCCACAUCUGACGCUGAGGCACGAAAGCGUGGGGAGCAAACAGGAUUAGAUACCCUGGUAGUCCACGCUGUAAACGAUGAUCACUAGACGUUAGCCCUGUUUUCAGGGUUAGUGUCGUAGCUAACGCGUUAAGUGAUCCGCCUGGGGAGUACGGUCGCAAGAUUAAA